rnacentral:rRNA from 1 species
GACGAACGCUGGCGGCGUGCCUAAUACAUGCAAGUAGAACGCUGAAGAGCGGCGCUUGCUCUUCUUGCAUGAGUCGCGCACGGGUGAGUCACGCGUAGGUAACCUGCCUUGUAGCGGGGGAUCACUAUUGGAAACGAUAGCUAAUCCCGCAUAACAUUGUGUGACACAUGUCAUUUAUUUGAAUGUGGCAGUUGCUGCACUACAAGAUGGACCUGCGUUGUAUUAGCUAGUAGGUGAGGUAACGGCUCACCUAGGCGACGAUACAUAGCCGACCUGAGAGGAGGAGCGGCGACACGGUGACUGGGACACGGCCGAGAGUGCUACGGGAGGCAGCAGUGAGGAAGAUUGGACAAGGGGUGAGAGCCUGAUCCAGCCAUCCCGCGUGAAGGAUGACGGUCCGAGGGAUUGUAACCUUCGUUUGUACAGGGAUAAACCUACUCGCGGGAGGGUAGCUGAAGGUACUGGACAAAUAAGCACCGGCUAACUCCGUG